rnacentral:misc_RNA from 1 species
UGAACUGAAACCAGCUUGAACCGGCUAAAUCAGGAAUGAUUCCGGUUCAAAGCGGUGAAGAUCAAACCCUCUAACCUCAUAUUAUGAGACUACAAUGGCUUAAUAACAAUAUAUUGAGAUCCAGAAUUCAAAAAACUACCUGAGGAUCUUUUGCCUGCAGGACCUUUUCAUACAAAUUGCAGCGCCAGAAUUGAUCUGCAUAAUCUACGGGGCGAUGCAUUCUUAAUUUAAAGGAAAUGGAUAUUCUACAACAACAUUGAGACAGCAUACAUAUGUUUUAGUCUACACUAGAACCUAUGUUAGUCCAACUCUUCGCUUCCGUUAUUCAGCAAUUUCUCAGGACCUCCACAGUCAGUAGGGAUAAAGAAUGCCGAUGCAGUUAUCUUGCAGUUGGAAAAUCCCCAGGGCACCAGCUGGGUCGCUCUCAUUUUAAAAUGGAUGACUAGACCAAUUGCUGUAGCUGAUGGACAACAUGAGACAUUCGCGGACGCAUAGAUGGGACAUGCUGUGUGCAAGCAUACACAAGGUCCACCACCUUCUGAAUGACACCAGCUUCUGGAAUUUCUGAAGAAGAUGAAGAUAUGAGCGGAUCCAAAAGCUCAGGGUAGCGGUGUGCCUGGACCAAAGGUGUUGCCCACUCAAAUAUACUUUGCCAACCCACUGAAUCGACUGCUUGUGCAGGCCUACGUCCGGUGACUAUUUCUAACAGCAGAACUCCAAAGCUGUAGACAUCACUUUUUGUUGUAAGCUCAUUUCUGUAAACAAACUCUGGUGCAAGGUACCCAUAUGUACCACCUGCCAUCACCGUUCUCUCGUGCAUCACUUCCCAAGGCACAAACUUAGAGAGACCAACUCCCAUCAAGUGUGCUCCAAACUCUUCAUCAAGCAGUACAUUACUGGCACGAAUAUCCCGAUGCACAACAUGUGGCUUAACCUUGUCAUGCAAGAACGCAAUCCCUUGAGCAAGGGUAGUAGCUAUUUUCAUUCUCAUAGCCCAAUCCAAGCUUUUCCCUCCCCUCGGUAUGUGGUGUAGCCAUCUAUCUAAGGGCCCAUUAACUAUAAACUCAUAAACAAUGUAGCGGUCACCAUGAUCAUAGCAACAUCCUUUAAUAGCCACCAAAUUUGGAUGCUGAAGCCUUGCAACCCUUCCAACCUCAGAAUAGAACUCCUUCUUCCUCUGGAAACUGGAUCUCUUCAAUCUCUUAACUGCAACUCUUGAUCCAUCUGGGAGAAGGCCACUAUAUGUGCCACCUGUUUUUGCAUCACCGAGAAGACGAUUCCCUUCACUAAAAUUCUUUGUAAUUGACCUCAUUUCCUCAUUCGUGAAGACUUUCCAUGAUAGCGGAACUAAUGCCGAAGCAGCUGGAUUAGAUAAUUUGCGGGACUUUCUACGCUUCCUGCUUCGUCUGUAAACAAGAAGCCAAAUCACCACAGCUAAUGUUGUACAGAGAAUCAACCCACUUACAACUGCAAGGAUAAUAAGAUACUCCCUAUGACAACGCAUGUGGUAGCAUUUGUUUUCUUUAUUGCUUUCAUUCUUGGAAGCUACCAGUGGAGCAUGAACCGCGUCAUUAGAUAUUGUUUCAGAAGCAGCAAACCGGAGUGCAAAACAGGCAAUCAGAAGCACAGAAAAUUGCAGGAGGGUCAGUUCCAACUCCAUCACAAUUAUUUCCCAAAACCUGUGAAAUGGGUCAGUCGAAAUUGUACAUAGCAGCUCUUCGAGGAUUCAAUUUGUGAGAAAGAAACCAGAAGAAGGUCCAGCUCUUGGAAACUUUCAUCAGUCAAUAGCAAGGACUUAAUGGAGGUGGG